UUUUGCAAUAUUAAUCUUGCCAAUCCCUGAGCAUGGGAGAUCUUUCCAUCUUCUGAGAUCUUCAAUUUUUCUUCAGAGGCUUAAAUUUCUUGUCAUGCAGACAUUUCACUUGCUUGGUUAAUGUCACAACAAUGUAUUUUAUAUUUUUGUGACUAAUGUCAAGGGUGUCAUUUCCCAAGGACACAUGCUGCUCUAUGUUUAUCGAAGCCUUAUUUAAAAGAACUCAGAUGGCCUCGAACACAGGAAUGGAUACAGAAAAGGUGCUAAGUUUACACAAUGGAGUACUACUUGGCCAUUAAAUACAAUGACUGCAUAAAAUUCUUAAGCAAAUGGUUGGAACUAUAAAAUAUCAUAGUUACUGAGGCAACUCGGUCACAAACAGACACACAUGAUAUCCACAAACUGAUAAAUGGGUAUUAGCCCAAAAGCUCAGAAUACCCACAAUAAAAUUAACACAUCCUAUGAAGCUCAUGAAGAAGGAAGACCAAAGUGUGGAUGCUUCAGUCCAUAGAAGGGGAAACAAAAUACCCAGAGAAGGAAAUAAGGAGACAAAGUAUGGAGUAGAGACUGAAGGGAAAACAUCAAGAGAAUACUCCACAGGGUGUUCACCCCACAUACAGUCACCAAACAAUUGCAGAUGCCAAGAAAUGCUUGCUGACUGGAGCCUGAUAAAGCUGUCUCGUGAAAGGCUCAGCUAGAGCCUGGCAAAUACAGAGGUGGAUUUUUAAAGCAAACCAUUGGGCUGAGUACGGGGUCCCCAAUGGAGGAGUUAGAAACAGGAUUGGAGGACCUAAAGAGGUUUGCAACCCCAUAGGAAGAAAGCUGAUCCCACAGAGCUUCCAGGCAUUAAACGCCCAACAAAAGAGCACACGUGGAGCCACCCAUGACUCC
rnacentral:lncRNA from 1 species